rnacentral:rRNA from 1 species
GAGGAAUAUUGGACAAUGGGCGCAAGCCUGAUCCAGCAAUGCCGCGUGGAUGAAGAAGGUCUUCGGAUUGUAAAGUCCUUUCGGCGGGGACGAUGAUGACGGUACCCGCAGAAGAAGCCCCGGCUAACUUCGUGCCAGCAGCCGCGGUAAUACGAAGGGGGCUAGCGUUGCUCGGAAUGACUGGGCGUAAAGGGCGCGUAGGCGGUUUGGUCAGUUAGGUGUGAAAUUCCUGGGCUUAACCUGGGGACUGAACUUAAUACGGCCAGGCUUGAGUGUGGAAGAGGGUUGUGGAAUUCCCAGUGUAGAGGUGAAAUUCGUAGAUAUUGGGAAGAACACCGGUGGCGAAGGCGGCAACCUGGUCCAUUACUGACGCUGAGGCGCGAAAGCGUGGGGAGCAAA